GGCUCAGGACGAACGCUGGCGGCGUGCCUAACACAUGCAAGUCGAACGAAGCACUUUUUCUCUGAGAUUCGUCAAGGAGAAGAUUUGACUUAGUGGCGGACGGGUGAGUAAUGCGUGAGCAACCUGCCCUUCAGAGGGGGACAACAGUUGGAAACGACUGCUAAUACCGCAUGAUGUAUCCGGGAGGCAUCUUCUGGAUACCAAAGAUUUUUAUCGCUGAAGGAUGGGCUCACGUCUGAUUAGCUAGUUGGUGGGGUAACGGCCUACCAAGGCUGCGAUCAGUAGCCGGACUGAGAGGUUGAACGGCCACAUUGGGACUGAGAUACGGCCCAGACUCCUACGGGAGGCAGCAGUGGGGAAUAUUGGGCAAUGGGCGCAAAGCCUGACCCAGCAACGCCGCGUGAAGGAAGAAGGCCUUCGGGUUGUAAACUUCUUUUAUGAGGGACGAAGGACGUGACGGUACCUCAUGAAUAAGCCACGGCUAACUACGUGCCAGCCGCUGC
rnacentral:rRNA from 1 species